rnacentral:snRNA from 1 species
GUGUGAGGGAGAGCUGUCUGUACUGUCACCCUGUGACCACCAAAGACUGAGUCAGCUGAUCUGGCUAGGCAGGGGGUCCCCUUCCCCUCUUAUUGUUGCAUGGGCAUCCAUCCUGAAGCCGUGGGCUUGGGAAGAAGACAGCUUUUCUGACAAGGACAGGAUGGUCCUUCACUUAAGUAAUUGCACUCCCCGCCGCAGCCUCCAGCGCCGUGGGAGAAACCACCUAGAAGGAAGUCUUAACUCAUGUGAGAUACAGAAGUCCGGGUUAUAUGAGGUUAUAACCUGAGCCUU